CCACAAUUCUAAUUUCCGCAAUUCUAUGGCACAUCCUGGCAACAAGGAUUUGGUGCAUAGGCAGCAAUUCUACUUCUGGAUGAACUAUAAGAAUAACAGGCUGAAACACAUUAUAGCAAAGUCUCAACUUCAAGCUGCUGCUGCAACCCCAGCUUCUGUUCCUCCACAUUAAUGGAGGGCACGGGGGGGUGGGGUAAGAGCUAAUCUUUGAUUUUCUUUGUUUGAAGCAGGGUAUUCAAGUAUCUUUGAAGGCAGUAAACUCGCCAUAUUCUCAACAGGUUGUUUGGAUAC